rnacentral:rRNA from 1 species
AUGCAGGCUGCAGAACAUGCUUCCAUCACCUUCCUGUGUUGCUCGAGUCAUGGGCUCCAUCGUGUGACGCACUGCAAGGAUGUCAACCAUGCUGCUGCAGGGUUCAGUGUCGUCAUCUUUGUCGGCAUAUUCCGCUUGGGUCUAGAGGAGGUAGAGGAGCUCCAGUUUGAUCCUAAGGAUGGAGAUUCUACUUCAUGUGUUGUCUUACAAGUAACGAGGCUGGCUGUCUUGCACACACCACAAAUGAAGGUUUUGGAACUCCAUUCUCCAAUAGUAUUAGUGAAUCAAACACUCCAAUCUCUCUGA